rnacentral:rRNA from 1 species
UGCGCAGGUGGGCUUGUAAGUCAGUGGUGAAUUACUGCCGCUUAACGGUAGAACUGCCAUUGAUACUGCAAGUCUUGAAUAUGGUUGAGGUAGGCGGAAUGUGUCGUGUAGCGGUGAAAUGCAUAGAUAUGACACAGAACGCCGAUUGCGAAGGCAGCUUACUAAGCCAUUAUUGACGCUGAGGCACGAAAGCGUGGGGAGCGAACAGGAUUAGAUACCCUGGUAGUCC